rnacentral:rRNA from 1 species
UACGUAGGGGGCGAGCGUUGUCCGGAUUCAUUGGGCGUAAAGAGCUCGUAGGCGGCUUGGUUAGUUGGGUGUGAAACCUCCAGCUUAACCUGGAGACGCCACUCAAUACUGCCAUGGCUAGAGUCCGGUAGGGGACCACGGAAUUCCUGGUGUAGCGGGUGAAAUGCGCAGAUAUCAGGAGGAACACCGGUGGCGAAGGCGGUGGUCUGGGCCGGCACUGACGCUGAGGAGCGAAAGCGUGGGGAGCGAACAGGG